UACAGAGGGGGCAAGCGUUGUUCGGAAUUACUGGGCGUAAAGGGCGCGUAGGCGGCCCGCUAAGUCGAACGUGAAAUCCCCGAGCUCAACUCGGGAACUGCGUCCGAUACUGGUGGGCUUGAAUCCGGGAGAGGGAUGCGGAAUUCCAGGUGUAGCGGUGAAAUGCGUAGAUAUCUGGAGGAAUACCGGUGGCGAAGGCGGCAUCCUGGACCGACAUUGACGCUGAUGAGCGAAAGCCAGGGGAGCGAACGGG
rnacentral:rRNA from 1 species